rnacentral:rRNA from 1 species
UAUUUAUUAGAUAAAAAACCAACGCCCUUCGGGGCUCCUUGGUGAAUCAUAAUAACUUAACGAAUCGCAUGGCCUUGCGCCGGCGAUGGUUCAUUCAAAUUUCUGCCCUAUCAACUUUCGAUAGUAGGAUAGUGGCCUACCAUGGUGGCAACGGGUAACGGGGAAUUAGGGUUCGAUUCCGGAGAGGGAGCCUGAGAAACGGCUACCACAUCCAAGGAAGGCAGCAGGCGCGCAAAUUACCCAAUCCCGAUACGGGGAGGUAGUGACAAUAAAUACUGAUACGGGGCUCUUUUGGGUCUCGUAAUUGGAAUGAGAACAAUUUAAAUCCCUUAACGAGGAACAAUUGGAGGGCAAGUCUGGUGCCAGCAGCCGCGGUAAUUCCAGCUCCAAUAGCGUAUAUUAAAGUUGUUGCAGUUAAAAAGCUCGUAGUUGAACCUUGGGUCUGGCUGGCCGGUCCGCCUCACCGCGAGUACUGGUCCGGCUGGACCUUUCCUUCUGGGGAACCUCAUGGCCUUCACUGGCUGUGGGGGGAACCAGGACUUUUACUGUGAAAAAAUUAGAGUGUUCAAAGCAGGC